CAAUAUUCUUUUCGUAUUUAAGUAGAAUAUUCGUAUUUCCCAUAAAAAUAUGUUUUCCUUGAGGAUCCCAAAAUAAAUUACUGUAUGAUCAGUUUAGAACUGACUGUAUUCUAGAAGCGAUUUCAGAUUUUUUGACUGUAUGACCAGUCGUGAUUUUGAAAAAAAACAACGGCAAUUUGAAGUACAUGACUAUGUGAAUUUAUGAACUGUCCAGGUAACUAUAAAGUGUAUUUUUUUCAUCAGACAAAACAAAUAUAUUUCUGAUAAUUUUUGUAGACGGCAAAAUAAUUGUAUUUUUGUUCCGUCAGUCUUAUUCAAAAUCAAAUGCCUAAAAAGCAAUACAUGAUUCGCUUUUUGUAAUAGUGUAUCGUUGCAGUUAUCUGUUUAGCUAUUACAUUUUUAAAGACUAUUUUCACCGUCCGCCGUUGACCAAUUGAUGAUAACAUACAUCAAGCUUGUCUCUUUUAAAAUUACAAAAAAUGGAUAAAGAAAGCUUUGCGAAGGGGGAUAAUUCAUGUGAUAUAAUUUGGGCAAGUUUACAGAAAUCAUUACCUGUAUCAAUAUCGAAUGAAUUUAAAAUGAAACGGAUUUUAUCAGUUUACUUAAAGCGAUUUCUGGGUUAAUCCAUAUAUGUCAUUGUACUGAUUGCAUUUAUUGAUUGCGUGGCAACUUGUGGAAAUGAUAAUAAUUUGUUAUGUACUUUCACCCUUUAUACCAGGAUUUUCCACAGAAAAAAUCGGUUGGUAGGUUGAGGUUGGUGCAACCAUUAAAACGUUUUUGUAUAACAAUAUUAAUUAAAUCUGUGUGUAUUUGUACAAUUUUAAGUAUAACGGAGGACAUUUCUGAAACUCAUAUAUACAACAAACCUACCUUUUAUUUUAGCAACAUUUAAACAUCCUUAUACUUAAUAUAGUAAGUCAAGUACACCCUAUCAAGCAAAACAUGUUUCAUAAGUUUUCAGGAUGUGAAUUUAUUGAAAUCUAUUUGUGUUAUUUAGAAAAAUGCCACCUUAUAAUGUAUCAUAAAUAACUUUGAAAUCACCACUAGAAUACAGUGAAAUAAGGACUGAUCAUACAUUCACAAAAUAUACAAGCGAGACUGAUCGUACAGUGAGAAAUUCAAACAAGUGUAAUUUUCUUAUUUCUGUCUUCAAAGAUCUGGUUGAAACUUUUACCACUACUUGAAAUAUACUUAAUUUAGUUAAUUAAAUCGGGUGUUUACGGUAAUUUGUACACUAAGAAGGUAAAAAGAUUGUUUUUAGGUCCACCGACUGAUUUUCCUUAGUGAUGCACUUGAAAAUCUCUUGAUUAAGGCAAGGCUACUAAUAAUGAAUGCGCUGAAUUUAAUUCUAAACCAUUUGAGAAUAUUGAUGUCGGCUGAAUUAAUCAUUAAGCAAUGUACAGAUGAUCAAUUUACCGUUUAAUUCAGUAUAUCCAUCAAAUUUAAAAUGUGAUCCAAAAAGUUCUCGCUUCGAAAAUCGCGACUUCCGGAUAGCGUACAGAAUAGUAUCUACACUGUGAGUUAUAGCUGUUAUUUUUAAUCAAAUGUAAAUAAUAUUAAAUCCAUACUUAUGGUAGCGUGAGAGUAUUCUAUUAAUGAUCUUUGUAAAUUUUUACUAAGAAAAAUAAGAAAAUUUUAAUGUGGAGAUGCUAUCAAAUCUUAUAUCAAUUUAAUUAUAGUGGUUAUCCAAAACUUUAAUAUAUAAGGGGAGAUAAUUUUAUAAAGUCUCAAGAAAAGUUUAGCAAACCUAAUUUUUGCAUUUAAUAUUUGUUAGUUUUUAGUAAGUGAUAUCUUAUUUAGUUUUCCUUCUUGUCACUUUGAAGUGAGUAUCAAUCUUUUAUCCAGAGUCUUUGUGUAUCCUUAUAAAAUGCCAAAAUUACAGACAGACAUGAAAUAAGCUAUAUUUUAGCAGAGAAAAUUUGAAAUUCUAUUAUUUCUUGUAAAUACUUCUAUUCUACCUUAACAAUCAAAUCAAAAAUCAAAUACCAAUUCUAGUCUGCUUAGAUUUCACAUUUAUUGUGCUUUCUUUUGUUGCUUACAUGAUAUUACAGGGUAACAAUAGGCAAUUCUUUCUCUCUUCAAUGAGAAUUUUCAUGCACAGUAGUAAAUAUGUUAUAUUUAUGCAUCAGCUUUGUAUUACUCCAUAAUUAUGUUUAUAUCCAGGAAUUUUUAUUCAGAGAAAUUAAGCCCUUAGAAUUUUGCAUAUUUGCACAUAGUUAAGGGCAUAAAUGCAAUAGCCAGGUCAGAUAAUAUUGUAUUAAAAUUCAAUGUGUUGCUUUAGCAACAAUGAACAGCUUGUUCCAUUAUUAUAAGAAAAUGUUGUUGAUGUUAUUCCUCAUCACAGACAGGAGUAUUCAGCAUUUAAGAGCAAAGUUUUUAUUUGAAAUUUUUAUAAAAUUAAUGAAAUAAAAAUCUUUCUGUUUGCCAAAAUCCAGAACCAAAGAAAAAAAUAAUGCAGUAUUUAAGAUUGCAUAUCAAAAUUGAUUUGAGUAUCAAAAGUCCAGUAAAAAGUCUAUGUAAAUCCAGAUUGUUUCAUGUUGCCUUAAGGAUGUACACCUCUGAGGAGCCAAAAAUUUCUAGAAUUAAACUUUUUUUCUUAACCUGAUUUUGGGGUUUAUAAGACUGUAACAAAAUAAUUGGUAAAGAAAAAAUCAUAUGGUGGUGAACUUCGUUUUUUGCUACAGCCCUUUGAAAAUGCCCAAUUUUGAUGAUUUUCCCAUUUUUCAUCGAUUUUUACCUAUUUUGGGGCUAUUAUCACAAAAAAAAAAUCACAGUUCCACAAUUCAACUUUUUCUCUUACUUUCUAUAAAGAUGAAGCGGACCAAUCUGAAUAAAUUUUACUUAAAAAAACUAUAGGUAGGUGUUAAUAUAAGAAAGUUUUAUCAUAUUUUGACGCUUUUUUGUGUAAAAUUUACCAUGCUGUCAAUUUUCUAUUUUUGUGAUUUUUCUCAGUUUUAAGAACAUAAUGCAUAUUAUUUCAACUUUUUUGUUAUAAAUGAUUGAAAAAAUACACAUCUAAGAAAUUUGAAAAGACCAAAAUGAUAUGGGAUGUACAUGAUUCUUGUAAAAUCAUUUUUUGUAUCCAUCACCCAUUUUCUCAAAACAUUGGCUAAAAAUACUGACUUGAUUGGUCGUAAAAUUUGAAAACUGGAUUACUCAAAAAAAGUUCGUUGUAAAUACACAAUUUUUUCACAGAGUUAUGUUUGAUUAUACAAUUUUUAAAAUUCAUUAAUAUUUUUCACUUGUAUCACAUGAUUUGAAAAUAAUUAAGAACAAGAUUUCAAAGAGACUGAACGAGACUGAAAAGUCAGAAGAAUACAUCCUUAAUGCAAUUUCUUUAUUUUCCUCAUUUCAUUUAUCACAUCAUUACUCACAUUCAUUUUGAAAACUUCUGAUGAUAGUCUAAGUGGAAAAACUAUACAUGGCUUAUUUACCCACACGAUUCAUGUGAGGCACAUUUCUUGUGAAAUUUUCAGCUGGGAGAGAAGUUAUUUACAGUUUAUUAAAUGUCACAAAAGUAUUUUUACUGUACAUAUAUUAUAACAAUGAUUUAAUGCAAUGAAGGAACAAAUUGUGUGAUAUUGUUAAUUGUUUGGUCUCAGUCAUUUGUUUUAUGUAGAUUUGUUAAAUAUAAGUUUGUAUGAGAGUAGCUACAUGGAG
rnacentral:lncRNA from 1 species